CAGUCGUACCUUCGGGUAAUCAGCCUUUUGGGUGUGAUUUUGUGGAGUGUGAGGAGUUAAACGCCUUCAUGCCUGCAUAUUCGUGCACUUUGGGUGUAUUUGCCCGUGUGGUAGGUUAACAUCAAUUUCGGAUGUCAUAAAAUGGCUGGAGGAAUGUAGCUUCGGUCUCGUAUUGAAGUGUUAUAGCCUCUGGUAGAUGUGAUGACCGGGAUUGAGGAUUGCAACGAAUACCUUUUGGGCUAUCCGUCUGAUCUCUGAAAGUUGCUCUGGUGCCGAAAGCGUGCUUACGGUUAUCAAAGUUGACGUUCAAAAGGUUAGAACGGGUUAAA
rnacentral:rRNA from 1 species